rnacentral:misc_RNA from 1 species
GGAGAGGUACUAUGGGGGUGACUCUGAUCUCUUCCAAUUCCAUAAACACUCUUCCAUUGACCUAAUCUCUCUGCCAAGGGAUUUCUCCAAGUUCACCUCUGUUUACAUGUACGAUAUAGUGAUUAAGAACCCCAAUAUCUUCCACGUCCGCGAUAUGUAACACAAGCCGCUCUGCGUCUGCUAUCUGUACUAUAUAUUGCUAGCUUGGUUUGAUCAAUCCUUUUCUUUAUAUUUCUUAUAUAUUUGGGAAUUACAGUUGGGAUUUGGUGUGUUGUGUUACUUGUGAGUUUGUGUAG